GAUGAACGCUAGCUACAGGCUUAACACAUGCAAGUCGAGGGGCGGCAUGGUCUUAGCUUGCUAAGGCCGAUGGCGACCGGCGCACGGGUGAGUAACACGUAUCCAACCUGCCGUCUACUCUUGGACAGCCUUCUGAAAGGAAGAUUAAUACAAGAUGGCAUCAUGAGUCCGCAUGUUCACAUGAUUAAAGGUAUUCCGGUAGACGAUGGGGAUGCGUUCCAUUAGAUAGUAGGCGGGGUAACGGCCCACCUAGUCUUCGAUGGAUAGGGGUUCUGAGAGGAAGGUCCCCCACAUUGGAACUGAGACACGGUCCAAACUCCUACGGGAGGCAGCAGUGAGGAAUAUUGGUCAAUGGGCGCAGGCCUGAACCAGCCAAGUAGCGUGAAGGAUGACUGCCCUAUGGGUUGUAAACUUCUUUUAUAAAGGAAUAAAGUCGGGUAUGUAUACCCGUUUGCAUGUACUUUAUGAAUAAGGAUCGGCUAACUCCGUG
rnacentral:rRNA from 1 species